AGACGGGAUGCUGGACGAGAUGGGCCGUGGCCUGAUCCAGCAGGCUCCUNUUACAUUCUUAUGUGGGCAGGUGUCCCUUUCCUACCUCACUGCUUUAUGUGCCUCCCUCCUGAAUCUGUGUGUUCUGUGGAAGAGGAUGGCUAUCCCCUUCAGUCAGGGGUAUUUAAUAACUAUGCUCCACUGCUGAAAGCUCCANCCAAGCCCAAGUCCAUAGGAAUAGUAGUUGUUUAGGAGCAGGUAGACAAUAAGAAGGAGAAAACCUUGAUUUCUAUUUUU
rnacentral:sRNA from 1 species